rnacentral:rRNA from 1 species
CCUACGGGGGGCAGCAGUGGGGAAUAUUGCGCAAUGGGCGAAAGCCUGACGCAGCGACGCCGCGUGAGGGAUGAAGGUCUUCGGAUCGUAAACCUCUGUCAGCAGGGAAGAACGGUCACUUUGCUAAUCAGCAGUGAAUUGACGGUACCUGCAAAGGAAGCACCGGCUAACUCCGUGCCAGCAGCCGCGGUAAUACGGCGGGUGCGAGCGUUAAUCGGAAUUACUGGGCGUAAAGCGCUCGUAGGCGGUAUGUCAAGUCAAGGGUGAAAUCCCCGCGCUCAACGUGGGAACUGCCUUUGAAACUGGCAAACUGGAGUGUGUGAGAGGAGAGUGGAAUUCCAGGUGUAGGAGUGAAAUCCGUAGAUAUCUGGAGGAACAUCAGUGGCGAAGGCGACUAUCUGGAACAUAACUGACGCUGAGGAGCGAAAGCGUGGGUAGCAAACAGGAUUAGAUACCCCAGUAGUC